UACAGAGGUCUCAAGCGUUGUUCGGAUUCAUUGGGCGUAAAGGGUGUGUAGGUGGCGCCGUAAGUCGGGUGUGAAAUCUCGGAGCUUAACUCCGAAACUGCAUUCGAUACUGCCGUGCUUGAGGACUGGAGAGGAGACUGGAAUUUACGGUGUAGCGGUGAAAUGCGUAGAUAUCGGGAGGAACACCGGUGGCGAAGGCGGUUCUCUGGGCCUUACCUGACGCUGAGGAGCGAAAGCGUGGGGAGCGAACAGG
rnacentral:rRNA from 1 species